rnacentral:rRNA from 1 species
GACGAACGCUGGCGGCGUGCCUAAUACAUGCAAGUUGAGCGCUGAAGGUUGGUACUUGUACCGACUGGAUGAGCAGCGAACGGGUGAGUAACGCGUGGGGAAUCUGCCUUUGAGCGGGGGACAACAUUUGGAAACGAAUGCUAAUACCGCAUAAAAACUUUAAACACAAGUUUUAAGUUUGAAAGAUGCAAUUGCAUCACUCAAAGAUGAUCCCGCGUUGUAUUAGCUAGUUGGUGAGGUAAAGGCUCACCAAGGCGAUGAUACAUAGCCGACCUGAGAGGGUGAUAGGCCACAUUGGGACUGAGACACGGCCCAAACUCCUACGGGAGGCAGCAGUAGGGAAUCUUCGGCAAUGGACGAAAGUCUGACCGAGCAACGCCGCGUGAGUGAAGAAGGGUUUCGGAUCGUAAAACUCUGUUGGUAGAGAAGAACGUUGGUGAGAGUGGAAAGCUCAUCAAGUGACGGUAACUACCCAGAAAGGGACGGCUAACUACGUG